rnacentral:rRNA from 1 species
UACGUAGGGUGCAAGCGUUGUCCGGAAUUAUUGGGCGUAAAGAGCUUGUAGGCGGUUUGUCGCGUCUGCUGUGAAAUUUCGGGGCUCAACCCCGAACUUGCAGUGGGUACGGGCAGACUAGAGUGUGGUAGGGGAGACUGGAAUUCCUGGUGUAGCGGUGAAAUGCGCAGAUAUCAGGAGGAACACCGAUGGCGAAGGCAGGUCUCUGGGCCACUACUGACGCUGAGAAGCGAAAGCAUGGGGAGCAAACGGG